UACGUAGGGGGCAAGCGUUGUCCGGAUUUAUUGGGCGUAAAGAGCGUGUAGGCGGCCAAGCAGGUCCGCUGUGAAAACUCGAGGCUCAACCUCGAGACGUCGGUGGAAACCGUUUGGCUAGAGUCCGGAAGAGGAGAGUGGAAUUCCCGGUGUAGCGGUGAAAUGCGCAGAUAUCGGGAAGAACACCCGUGGCGAAGGCGGCUCUCUGGGACGGUACUGACGCUGAGACGCGAAAGCGUUGGGAGCGAACGGG
rnacentral:rRNA from 1 species